CGCCCUUCAGAGGGGGACAACAGUUGGAAACGACUGCUAAUACCGCAUACGAUCUGACCUCGGCAUCGAGGAUAGAUGAAAGGUGGCCUCUAUUUAUAAGCUAUCACUGAAGGAGGGGAUUGCGUCUGAUUAGCUAGUUGGAGGGGUAACGGCCCACCAAGGCGAUGAUCAGUAGCCGGUCUGAGAGGAUGAACGGCCACAUUGGGACUGAGACACGGCCCAG
rnacentral:rRNA from 1 species